rnacentral:misc_RNA from 1 species
GAAAAGGGCUUCCUCUGGAACCGCACAAAAGUGCGCAUCUUCACAAACGCUCUCACUUGCGCACGUGAGCCUGGCCUCACUAGCGGACAUUCCCGGCUCGUGAGGCCUCUGACCCUCUUCGUGGGCUACUAGAUGACUUUUCAGCGAUGGACGACUUGCACUCGCCGUUGUCAGGGACGUUCGCGGCCUCUCCGCAUUACCUCGGUGGGGUGAGUGAUUCCUUAGCCCACUUGCCGCCGUUGUACCAGCUGCUUUCUUUGGGUGGUGUUUUCUGCGUGAUACACCUGCGUAACAAUGCUGUCGUGACAUGGCUCGUGGUGCAGUUGCACAGUUCCAUUGGCACUGAGGCGAUGUGGCCAGAGGAGUACAGGGCCACAUUACGGGCCAUGACCUUCACGGAGCGGCUAUGCUUCACACUGUACGGUGCCGCGCUGGCGGCGGUGGCCGUCGUCCUCUUCCGCGUCUUCUGCCAGGAUGCUUGGAAAAUUGGCUUGAACGCAGCUCAGAUGUUCCCUGACAAGAAGCUGCCGACAAUUGCCAUGGUGGUCCUCAUGUGCGUCGCCGAGGGCAUCCGACUGCAACAGGUGAUUGUGCAGGAGUUAUGCACUCCUGGGUCGCUGGCGAGACUCGCCAUGCACGGCUUCGACGGGAUCGAGGAGAGCGAGUUCGACCAGAGAGUCUCCGAGAGCAACACCCAUUUUGUGAUUCAGGUUGAGCUCCUUCGCGCCUACCUAGCGCAAGCAUGCGUCCACCGCGUCCCUGUCAUUCUCCUCGCCGGGGCCUACCGCUUGUUUCGCGAUGUGCCCAACAAGGCACAUGUGGCGUUGCGGUGGUACAUGGCGACUAUGGCCGGCUUCACUAUCGCGCAGGAGAUGCUCGGGAUGUACAUCCGGUACGUCUGGACAGACUGGAGCCUGUGGGCAAUGGUUAUUUGGCCCCUCGUCUUCCUGGGUGUUGUGAACUACGUGUACGGUCUGUCAAAACGGGCUGGAACGGUGGUGACGAUGUCGUCGACGAACUGUGUGACGGAGGCAUUGCGUGGUCUUGUCACGUGCGGCGCGCUGUGGCUCAUCGCCUCACUGAUAGUUCUCGCCUUCGUUGUGAGCGUGCACGAAGAGCUGGUGCUUAUCUGGCUCUUCAUGUCGCUCAUGAUCCUGUGGACGCCUGCUAUUAUCGAUGCGUGUGCCACCGACUACAUGGCGUUUCUCGCCAUUGGUGCGGGGUGCAUGGUGUAUGCCAUGGGCGGCGUCUCGUCCGUGUGGGCGAGCGCGCGCUUUGGUGCGCUGCACUUCUUAUGGUGGUUCUUUCCCUCUCUCUUGUACAACGCGACGCUGCACCUCUUCGCCUCCCGCUACAUCGCCAUGACGGUCGCGGCUUCCUGGUUUUUGUGGUCGCUGGCGCCUCCGAGCGAGCUCUUGAAGAAUGCCGAGUCGGCGGCGGAGCUGGGCCUAGAGGAUGGUCACGGUGUUGUGCACCUAUUCACGGCACGCGUGCUGUGGCUCCGCGCUGUAGCGGACUUCCGCACCCUGCCGAAAGGGUCAUGGAUUUACGGUCUGACGCAGGGGGACGGCGAGCGCGCCUUUGAUCUCAUCCUCCACGCGGCGGCCGCGGCGUGCGCUGUGUGUAUCGCGAUCAGCUUUGCCGUGGAGCGCCGCUUCACCGCCGAGGCACGUCUUGCGUGGCGGCAGCGUGACAUCGUUAGCGCCACGCCGGCUGUGCUGCUGCGUAAAAUGAUUCGCACCGUUGUGGUAGUGGGAUGCGUGGCUGCCUCGGCGGGGAUGUGGUGGGUGGUGCGUCAUUACGUGCUACCGAUGUGGACGCAGCUACUGCCCGACAUGAUCAGCAAAUUACUCGCGACGGUGGCGGCUGUGACGGUACUCGGCAAUCUCAUGGACAUGCACGAUAGUAUGUACAUCUCAUGUAUGCGCAUUCUGGGUCUGCCGGACCCGCUUAUCACGAUUGAUGGACCGGCGGUCGCCAGCGACGACCUGGCCAGUUCCGCCACCUCGAAAAUGCCCACAGAAGACAAGGGUGUCCACCCUAGUCGCACGUUUGAGUAGCGGCGAAUGAGACACGAAAAUCGCGCCCGAGAGAGGGGCACAGGGAACAACCAGAAUGAAUAGGGAGUCUGGUCACUUUGGUGUGUUGUUGUUGCGCAGUGCUCAGCCAAGAGGCGUGCUGUCCAUGUGCGUCCGCCGCACUCGUUUGUGUGUGUGUGUGUGUUCGGUGAGCAUGUCCUGAUGAUGUCGGUAGCCUCAGCGCGGCAUCAGGGUCCAGUACCCACACACGCUCUGUGGGGUCGCCAACAGGCGGCGCAGGCUGCCCUCGGAGACGACGGACGGAGUCUUCCGUGUCAGCGGACAUCUCAGUGCGGAAGAGACCUGCGGUCGUGGCCAGGGCUCUACUAGGUCACUACAAAUCGUGUGGGCGAUUCGGCAAGUAUACGCAUCCACCUACUGUUUUUUUUUUUCUGCUUUCGCUGCGUUGCGGUGAUGUCGAGCGUAAUCCUGGACUGCACGUGUGCCUUGCGCGGUGGGAUGGCAAUGGGCUGAACGACGCCAGACAGUGUUCGUCGGCCCGGCUGCUGGACAUGGCCGUGGUGCAACUGAGGUAGGAGAAGUGUGGUUGUGUGUGCGUCUAUUUGCGCACUUGUGUGGAGGAGGAGGAUGUCGAACGAAAAAAGGAAAGAACGGUUGUCGCCCUCGCAUGAUGAAUGCCGCUGCUGCUCUGAGAGACACCUAUCGUCGUGUGUCCCUCCUUGUCCAAGGAGGGCAUCACUCAUGCCGUUGUCUUCAUGGCCAUGCAUGGGUGGUAAUUGCUGAUAGAAUCUCUCCGCAGAGCAUGCGCACGCGCACAGGAGGGUCAACCGCUAGGGCGGAGUUCGUGACACGUGCUCUCCACCUCGUUACUCCUCUUCGACCCCCCCCCCUUACACCCCUUACACUUCCCACUGACUGCCUUGUUUGCAUGCCGUGGUGUGAAAGAGAACCAGUCUCCUGUCCAUCUCUGAAUGCACCCCUGCCUCCUCUCACCUUCCACCCUCGCCCCGCCCGCAG